rnacentral:tRNA from 1 species
GAGUUAAGACAUCCAAAGUAAAGCUUCUAACUUUAACUUUAAGCAGUGUAACCCUGUUUUUAGCUCU